rnacentral:rRNA from 1 species
ACGGGAGGCAGCAGUGAGGAAUAUUGCACAAUGGGGGAAACCCUGAUGCAGCGACGCCGCGUGAGUGAAGAAGUAUUUCGGUAUGUAAAGCUCUAUCAGCAGGGAAGAAAAUGACGGUACCUGCACAAGAAGCCCCGGCUAACUACGUGCCAGCAGCCGCGGUAAUACGUAGGGGGCAAGCGUUAUCCGGAUUUACUGGGUGUAAAGGGAGCGUAGAUGGCAUGGCAAGUCUGGAGUGAAACUCCGGGGCUCAACCCCGGAACUGCUUUGGAAACUGUUAAGCUAGAGUAUCGGAGAGGUAAGCGGAAUUCCUAGUGUAGCGGUGAAAUGCGUAGAUAUUAGGAGGAACACCAGUGGCGAAGGCGGCUUACUGGACGGUAACUGACAUUGAGGCUCGAAAGCGUGGGGAGCAAACAGGAUUAGAUACCCUGGUA